CAGUAGCCGCGGGAAUACGUAGGUCCCGAGCGUUGUCCGGAUUUAUUGGGCGUAAAGCGAGCGCAGGCGGUUAGAUAAGUCUGAAGUUAAAGGCUGUGGCUUAACCAUAGUACGCUUUGGAAACUGUUUAACUUGAGUGCAGAAGGGGAGAGUGGAAUUCCAUGUGUAGCGGUGAAAUGCGUAGAUAUAUGGAGGAACACCGGUGGCGAAAGCGGCUCUCUGGUCUGUAACUGACGCGGAGGCUCGAAAGCGUGGGGAGCGAACAGGAUUAGAUACCCCCGUAGUCCCUGUCUCUUAUACC
rnacentral:rRNA from 1 species